rnacentral:rRNA from 1 species
GAUGAACGCUGGCGGCGUGCCUAAUACAUGCAAGUCGAGCGAACAGACGAGGAGCUUGCUCCUCUGACGUUAGCGGCGGACGGGUGAGUAACACGUGGAUAACCUACCUAUAAGACUGGGAUAACUUCGGGAAACCGGAGCUAAUACCGGAUAAUAUAUUGAACCGCAUGGUUCAAUAGUGAAAGACGGUUUUGCCGUCACUUAUAGAUGGAUCCGCGCCGCAUUAGCUAGUUGGUAAGGUAACGGCUUACCAAGGCAACGAUGCGUAGCCGACCUGAGAGGGUGAUCGGCCACACUGGAACUGAGACACGGUCCAGACUCCUACGGGAGGCAGCAGUAGGGAAUCUUCCGCAAAGGGCGAAAGCUUGACGGAGCAACGCCGCGUGAGUGAUGAAGGUCUUCGGAUCGUAAAACUCUGUUAUUAGGGAAGAACAAAUGUGUAAGUAACUAUGCACGUCUUGACGGUACCUAAUCAGAAAGCCACGGCUAACUACGUG